rnacentral:misc_RNA from 1 species
GGUAUAGAAGGCAUGGAUGGGAAGUUUUUGGAUGGAUGGGUUAUAUUUGCUGAGUAUGCAAGACCCAGGCCAUCACCAACUCCACCUGGGAACAAUGUAGGUCCUGGAUAUGGGAGCAACAGAGGUCCUGCGUAUGGGAGCUACAGAGGUCCUGCGUAUGGGAAUGCUGCGAGUCCUGCAUUUCAGAGCACAAGUCCUGAAUACGGAAAUGCUGCAGGUCCUGCAUAUCAGACUAACACGGGUCCUGAGUAUGGGAAUGCAACAGGUCCUGCGUACGAGAGCAACAUGGGUCCUGCAUAUGGGAAUACCUCAGAUCCUGCAUAUCCGAAU